UUGAGCUCUCGGCACAGUGCUGAUGCACCAGUGUCGCUCGUCCCAUCACUAGGCUCAGCCAUUGCACUCCGGCUGUGCUGACCCCUGCGAAUUCCCCAAAUGUGGGAAUCUCGACUGCAUAAUUUCUGGUAGUGGGGGACUGCGUUCGCGCUCUCCCCUG